GAGUAGAAAUCCUUGAUUUGCAAAUACUGUGUGAAGCAACACAUUUAUAAGGACUGGGGAUCAGGUACCCAUCGUUACACUUCAUUCGAACAUCCAGUAGAUCCCGCUCUGGACCAGAUCAACAGGUCAAGUCUGACGAAGGCCAAAUGAUGGACUUUGGAAAGAAAACCUUGAUUUUCAUUACUCUCUGGACACUUGUUGGAGCCCAAAUGAUCAUAAACAAUCUAGAAAUUUUGGUUUCUGUCCCAUCGACCCACAUCGGAGACACAGAAAUUGGGUCAGCAGUCCUCACUGUAUCAGCCGGCCACCCACUCCUGUACACAGUGGUCGCCCAGAAGAAUGAAACCCAAUGCAUCAACUCCACCGAUCUCCUCUGCACCUCCAUGAUCAAGGAGCCAACGGUUAAUGUAUCAGUGUCCUCAACAGGAAGCAAUGGGAACAGAUUCAUCUAUUCCAAUUGCACUAAUGGGUCACUGCAGCUCGUAAUCCAUGUUGGCUCUGAAGUCACUCUCACCCCCCAGAUACGGAAUGGUGAAAGUGACAACAUCAUGAUUUUCCUAGAUAUUUUGUAUGAUAGUACCACAAGGCAAAGCUCAUUGAGGUCAAGAAGACAACCAACUACAUUUAGCCUUAAUGUUGAAUUUGCCACUUUUACGACCUCUACUACCCCCAUGGAUGAAGAAAAUAAAGGACAAGAAAAUGGACAAUCUACCCUCCAUUCUGGACCAUUGAGCGCGCUCAUUCUCCUGGCUCUGCUUCCGAUUUUGCUCCUCAAGUGAUCGACAAGAGACUGAUGACCGAGGCUAUUAAAUGGCAUUUCCUUCAUUUUUAUGACAAUACUGUAUUGUCUCUUCUCGGAUCACCUCGUCACUUCUAGUAAAUCCCAUCCAAAGUAAUAAAGACACAGAUAUGAGGAGGAUCAAACAGCAACAAGCCCUUAAUACAGGACUCCCUGCUCCUGAUGAUGGAAAACAACAGGCACAGAAACAGAGAAAAGAGUAAAUUCCCAGAGCUGAACGGUCAAUAUGUCCAGAUUAUCCACGUUAUGGCCGCACUUCUCCUCCCCAGACAGGACCUCUUCUUCCUAUAGAACUUCCACAGCAAAAAUAAAUAAAUAAAAUACGAUGCAACAGCUCUCUGCAAACCAAAUAAAGUACAAAAAAGUAUUCUCAUGCUAAUGCUAUGCUUUUUAAGUAAAUUUGAGAUUCUUGG